AACGGCGGGAGCUAGUGUUAUUCUACGUUAAUGGGUGUUAGGAUACGUAGGUGGUAUUUUAAGUUAUUUAUGUAAAAAAUGCUGAAGAAGCUUAUUGACAUUAAAUAAAACUUUUAUACUUGAAUUAAUUAGAUGAAUUUAGAAACUACUGUGUAUGGGUGAAAUCAAAAGAUACAGUUAACAGACUAUCAAAAUAGCGAAAGCAAUUUUCAAUAAUUAAUUGACACUAAGGUAUGAAGGCAUAGGAAUCAAAUCGG
rnacentral:rRNA from 1 species